rnacentral:rRNA from 1 species
CGCGAAAGCGUGGGGAGAAACAGGAUUAGAUACCCUGGUAGUCCACGCCGUAAACGUGAGUGCUAAGUGUUAGAGGGUUUCCGCCCUUUAGUGCUGAAGUUAACGCAUUAAGCACUCCGCCUGGGGAGUACGGCCGCAAGGCUGAAACUCAAAGGAAUUGACGGGGGCCCCCAAGCGGUGGAGCAUGUGGUUUAAUUCGAAGCAACGCGAAGAACCUUACCAGGUCUUGACAUCCUCUGAAAACCAAAUAGGGCUUCUCCUUCGGGAGCAGAGUGACAGGUGGUGCUGGUUGUCGUCAGCUCGUGUCGUGAGAUGUUGGGUUAAGUCCCGCAACGAGCGCAACCCUUGAUCUUAGUUGCCAUCAUUAAGUUGGGCACUCUAAGGUGACUGCCGGUGACAAACCGGAGGAAGGUGGGGAUGACGUCAAAUCAUCAUGCCCCUUAUGACCUGGGCUACACACGUGCUACAAUGGGA